rnacentral:tRNA from 1 species
AAGGGAGACCUAAUUCGGGUAUAAGACGAAAAAAAAGUAGUCCCAACCAAGAAUCAAUCCCAAAAGGUCGGAACGAGGUAUGAGGCUUUCAAACUAGGUUCUGGGUUCAUAAAAGACCUGAAUCAGGAACAAGGGCUAUUAGCUCAGGUGGUUAGAGCGCACCCCUGAUAAGGGUGAGGUCCCUGGUUCGAGUCCAGGAUGGCCCACCUGCACAGGUGGCAAAAACAAGAGAAGCUCCGAAUCAGCACCUUAUCUUAUAUACAUAUAUAAGAGAGAAUGCUGGCUCUGAGUACAGAGUCCAGAGGAACCUUGAAAACUGCAUAGAGCUAGGUGAAAAAGCCAAAAAAGAAGACCGCAA